rnacentral:SRP_RNA from 1 species
UUCCUAGACCUGUGCAAUGCUAAUUUUAGGCAUCGUUUCAGGGUAGGAAUACAGCAGAACACUUAACUUUGGUAUGUGCCGCAGUUAUCUGGGAAGGG